rnacentral:rRNA from 1 species
AACGAACGCUGGCGGCAGGCUUAACACAUGCAAGUCGAACGCAUCCUUCGGGGUGAGUGGCAGACGGGUGAGUAACGCGUGGGAACGUGCCCUUCAGUUCGGGAUAACCCAGGGAAACUUGGGCUAAUACCGGAUACGUGCGAGAGCAGAAAGAUUUAUCGCUGAAGGAUCGGCCCGCGUCUGAUUAGCUAGUUGGUGGGGUAAUGGCCCACCAAGGCGACGAUCAGUAGCUGGUCUGAGAGGAUGAUCAGCCACAUUGUGACUGAGACACGGCCCAGACUCCUACGGGAGACAGCAGUGGGGAAUAUUGGACAAUGGGCGCAAGCCUGAUCCAGCCAUGCCGCGUGAGUGAUGAAGGCCUUAGGGUUGUAAAGCUCUUUCGUCCGGGACGAUAAUGACGGUACCGGAAGAAGAAGCCCCGGCUAACUUCGUGCCAGCCGCCGCUGUAA